AUCCAGCUGACGAGUUCCAAAUAGGACGAAAUGCGCUUCCUGGUU
rnacentral:hammerhead_ribozyme from 1 species